GAGAGAGAGAGAGAGAGAAUAGUCUCUAAGAGUCUAUUGGGCUUAUGGGAAUUUUAGAAUCUCAUUUUGUUGGUGGGAAAAAUUGUCUAGAUUUAGGGCUAGUGAGAAUUUUCCCUAGUAAAUACCUACUGAUAUGACACAUACCAUCAUUGAUUGUUCAACUUGCCUAUGGUCUUGAUGUUCAAUAUUGAUAUCUCAGUUUUUGCCUUUCACUUGCGCAGGGUAUCAAUAACAUGGUUCAGUCUCAGAAAGAGGACUCAAAAGCAUUGGUGAGUUUCUAAUUUUUUUUUUCGAGACUAUUUAACGAUAUAAAAUCUGAUUUUACCUUAUGUAAUCUCAGGCACCAUCUGGCCCUCCUAUACCCAGUGAUAGAGCUAAAGUAAUCCUUUUUUUUGUACUGUUUUAGUAGAUUUUCUUCCAUUCAUGAGCGUAAUUCCAAUAAUCUUGCACCCUCUCUCAUCUCUUUGCAUAGCUGUGUAUUUCUGCUGACUAUUUUAAUUAUUUGUAUACAAUGCAAUCUGCAAGCACUUAUCUGUUGACUGUAUUCUGUUGGCAGGUUAGGAUGCAGUCCUUCAUUGACAUGCGGAUCUUUAAGGAAAGAUGGAGGAAUGCAGUGAAGGAGGAUAACUGUUGGGUUGACCCAUAUUGACUAUCAGCAAACUCAAUCAUCCAUAAAUUCUAUUCAUACGACUUCCUUCAUGUGAAAAUUCGGAGGUUGGUGCCCAUUAUUAUACACAGACAGCGCCAUCAGACCAAAUAGCCUUUGACAAAUAUUUGGAGACCGACAAUGAAGAUGUGAUGUGAAAUGACAUCAUUAUUUUGUAUAGGCAGUAUAUUUUUGUAUCCCUGGCUGGAAAUGGAAUGAUCAAUCCAACAUUUUCUGUUGUGAUUGCAUCACCUUUUGCUGUAAAUAUAACCAUGUAAAACCUAUAUAUUGAUGCAUCAAAACACUAUGAUGAAAUUUAAGAGUAAGUUUGAGCUCUGGUGACAGCCAAAAAUCAAAAUAUAGAGAACCUCUUAUUGUCAUGAAACUAAACUAAGAAUCAAUACCAAGCAAAUACAAGGUUUAGAUUGCUCAUUGUCAUGAAAAUGAACUAAGAAUCAAUAGCAAGCAAAUACAAGGUUUUGAUUGGUACCCAUGUUAACUUCAUCACUUCAGACCAAAAAAAGACUUUCAUUGCUUCUUACUCGUUUCAUCUCUGCAAAGGAACCAAAAACCCGAGUUAAGUAGCAAAAUUUCAUCAACAUAAAAGUUCUGAUUAGAAAACUAUUUACUUUCUAAUAACAGUACGUGCUCAACACUACACACAAACUUCACAACUAAAACAAUGCCAGAUUUUUGGUAUUUUGGCAGCUAGUUUAAUUUUAGCAUAUGAAUUAAGCUAGGUCCUUGCCACAACCACAACCUCCCCCUUUUCAUAUAGCUAUGUUGCCUUUGUUAGCAACAAGAGUAACACAUUUGCAAUUGUUAAAGAGAAAUACAAUGAAGAUGAAAAAGAAGAUGCCCAAAUGCAAAAUAAGACCUUGAGAUUGGUCAAUGGUAAUAGGGCAAUAAGCCAAGAAUCCAAAAUGUGAAGACGAAUAUAUAUACCUUGAUGUAAUCUAGUUAUAUCCUGAGACCACCCAAAACUACCAAGGAGCUGCACCAACUUAUAUUUCACAAGCCAUUUGAUAAAUGAUCGAUUUAAUGGAAUGAUUUGGUCAAUAAAAUUCAGUGCAUUUUCAAUUUUGAUAUGGAACCGGUUCACAAAGACUUAAUUUCCAUCAUACAACUUUAACUCACAAGAUUCUAGUCUACAGAACUAAAGCACACAACUCAAAAAAAAAAUGAAAAAUUAUAAGAUUUUUAUUAGGGAAAAUAUCCAAAUACCCAAAAAUUAGAAAGCUAAAGCCCAUUCUAAUAAAAUUCUAAUCCUUUAAUUCAUUUCAAUGAUUCUUAUACAAAAUAUAUUAUUACCUAUAUAAAAUUAAACCCACACAAUCUGCUCUCUCUCUCUCUCUCUCUCUCUUGAUAUCUACACCGUCACUCGGAGCAGUGCGUCGUCGCCGGCAAGCCACGAGGAGGAGCUCUGAUCUCCAACUCCAAGUAUCUUUAUGCCGUCUCGGUCCAACGUGCCUUUGCCGGCGAGCUAAUUUGCUUGAGCCUCGAGGAGAAGAUCCGAUCUCCAAGCAGCAGAGCUCCGAUCUCCGAUCUGCAAAACCAAAGGCGUUGGAGUCGCGCCGAGUGCCGCUCACGCAAUCGCCGAAUCUGUUACUGGUUUGUUUCCACAAAGCGAUGCGAGCCGAGCUUGCCGAUCUCCGUCUCGUCACCACGACCGCAUUAGAUUAUCAUUUGUCGUUUGCGUAUGUGGAGGGGGAGAGCUUGCUGAUGGGGUUGAAGGAGGUGGCGGUGUCGAGUGGGAGUGCUUGUACUAGUGCGAGUUUGGAGCCGUCGUAUGUGUUGAGGGCGUUGGGGGUGGAUGAGGACAUGGCGCAUACUUCGAUUAGGUUUGGGAUUGGGAGGUUUACGACUAAGGAGGAGAUUGACAGGGCCGUGAAGCUUACGGUGAAGCAGGUGAAGAAGCUGAGGGAGAUGAGUCCGCUUUAUGGUGAAGGAAGGGAUUAAUAUCAAGCAUAUUCAGUGGUUGCACCAUUGAGGGGUUGUGUAGUGGAGCAGUUAAUAUACAUAAUACAUGUGUACUGGUGAGCUGCGUCUUAUGGAGUGGAGAUGGAGAAUUCAAGGUUCAGUUUGCUAUCCUUGUUUGUAAUGCCUUUGACAACUCUCCUUAGUAACUCUAUAUCACUAAAUUUUGCAGACACAGUAUUUUUCUUUUCUAAUAUUUACCCAUUGCUGUUUCAUUUUGUUGGUAAGGAACGUGGGAAAGAUAGGUGAAGAUGGUGUUUUAGGUCUAAUAGUUGAUUAUUGCGGGUCAGUAACUGAUCAUUAAGGUUAUUAAGGGUUAGUAACACGAUUAUUAGGGGUAAGUAACCGAUUAUUGGGGGUCAGUAACAGAUUAUUAGAAGUCAGUAACUGAUUAUUGGGGGUCAGUAACUGAUUAUUAGGGGUUAGUAACACGAUUAUUAGGGGUCAGUAACUGGUUACUAGGUGUCAGUAACUGGUUACUGGGGAAAUUCCGGUAACCGGAGUCCGGCGGUCGAGGAAAUUUCAGUGACCGGAGUCCGGCGGUCGAGGAAAUUCUGGUGACCGGAGUCCGGCGGUCGGGGAAAUUCCGGUGACCGGAGUCCUGCGGCCGGUGAAAUUCCGGUGACCGGAGUCCUGCAGUCGAUGACCGGAGUCCAAGGUUCCGGCCAAGUCUUUUUAUGUUGAAGAGAUGGGGGCAAAAUAGUUUUAAAAUAAUAUAGUUUGUUAAGACUUUAAUAAAGAUUUNNNNNNNNNNNNNNNNNNNNCUCUCUCUCUCUCUCUCUCUCUCUCUCUCUCUCUCUCUCUCUCUCUCUCUCUCUCUCUCUCUCUUCUUGAUUUCUAAUUUCGCAAUCUAAUUCUCUCUGUCUCUCUCAACCCGAAACCCUAAUUCAUACAGAUCUUCAAUUCCCCCAAAUUCUGAUUUCAAUUCGAUCUCUUUAAUUCGCGGCGUUUCAAUCCCAAAGGAAAAACCCCGAAACCCUGGAUUAGGAACCAUUUCGGAGACCUUGUUCUCUACUCUACUCUCUCUUUAACUUUGCGAUUCUUAAUUGUUUAUUACGUGAUUCUCUCCGUUUUUCUCGAAUUUCCGAUCUCUCUGUCGAUUUCCAUGGCAAGCUUCUUCGGUAUCAAUCCCCAUAAGGUUUUUUUUGGAUACAAGGGAGCCAAAAGACCCAAACAAAGAAAAAAAGAGAGUAGAAACUAGAUAGCUCUAGCGACAUUCUUAAACUUAGCAGUAUCACACAAGUCAUCAAGAGCAGCAUUAACAACUUGUGGAGGAGGUUGCUGAAAAUAUUGCACUCCAAACUCAGAACUUAAUCUGGACUUAGAGAGAAUAUUAGCCACCAUGUUGAUCUCUCUGUGCACAUGUGAGACAUCACACAUAAAGAGCUUGUCCAUCAAAAAUUUGCAUCUACCAAGCACACUGUAUAAAGGAUGCAAAUCAUCAACCCCUUUCUUCAACAUUUGAACAAUAACAUUAGAAUCAGAUUCAAUAAGGAGCGAAGUGCAUUGGGAAGUGUAAGCCAUCUUUAAAUCCAAGGGUAAACCCCAUGCUUUAGCGUCCAGAACAGAGCCAUUUCCCAAACUAGCAGCAAAACCAGAAAUCCAAUUGCCAUUACUGUCUCUUAACACACCCCCAGCACCAAUACAACAUCCCCAUAAGGUUUUGUUGCCAUGCCCAUAAGAAGAAAUAUACAAAAUUACCAUUACACACACUUUUUGUUUUUUUCUCGACUAAUACACACUUUUAAGCCUAAAUUACCAGUAACAAGCAUGUUUUUUAAAAUUUUUAUUAUCUGCAUGAAGUAAUAGAAUGAACCAAAAGAGAUCUAUCACACAGGCCAAAGUGUUCCAACUUCUAAGCAAAUUAUGAAUAAAUAAUUCAAUACUAUACCCCCAAAGGCUAUCAGAACAAAAUUUGAGGAAAAAGGAAAUUAUGAAUUUACGGUUUUCCUUGCCUCAAUCAGCCAUUAUUCAUAUUUCUGUUCAAAUAACAAGGCUAACGAAUUUUUAUCUUCUGUCUUCUCAAUAGUGUAGACACGGGCCUCGAAUUUUCAACAAGAAUGAAAAUUAUGAUCUCUUCCCUUGUUGUCAAGGAUUUAUCUCUCUGUACGUAGAGCUAGUAGGAGCUUCAUCCUUGCUGUUAUCCCCUCCUGCUUUUGAGGUCCCAGCCAUUGUUCCUCGGUUGCGAGUUACUGAACCGACUUCCUCAUCAAAACGUUUGCUUCUCUCUGCGUCUUCAUGCGUAACAUCAGCCAAGCGUUGUUCCUCGUCCUUGUCACCCCUGCAUCAUAUUGAGAGGACAACACAUAGAGAUACAUCAAUAGUCUGAUAACAUAAUAUGGAGACACAAGGAAAGACAAACUUCGCCCUAGAACAGCUUUCCAUCACACCACAACAAAGUGGAAAUCAAUGCCCUACUCUUAAGAGAUGAGCUGACAUCUGAUAUGAUCUACAAAGAUUCUACAUAUGUUAGUCAAUCUCCAUAAAUAUCCAUUCUUUCUUUUCACAAGGCCAAGUUAUUUCUUAGAUCAAAUAUUUAAGCACAGAUCAGUUGUAAAGAUCAAAAUAUGUUUGCAGCUGUAAUUAUCAUAGCAUGUGAAAGCAUCAGAUUGUUCAAAUUGAACAUGCUAAAAGUGCAAAACCAAGCUCGGUAUGAGCCAGGCUCAAGCAAUUCACAUAUCCGAUGUCCAUUCAAAAGCCAGAAAAAAAAAACAAAAAACAUGAAAACCUUACGUACCAUGAAUAAAUAACAAGCCCAACAACGACGAUCGCAAAGGCCACAAAGUACAUCCAAUCAACCUGAGUAGGAUUCUUGGCUUAGAAUGACAUCUUCUAAUAUACACUACUCAAGAUGAAAAAAAAAUGAUGAUGCCCAUGUAAUUAGAUUACAGACCUUCUGAUGGUAAGCAAAAAUGCGAAUUAAGACUGCCCACAUGUCUGAUGUCAGCAAUGACAGGUUUAACAUCGUAGAUCCAUUAAUCUGCAAAGGAUGUACAUAAUUUACUACAAAUUGUUUCGUACAACUCAUUCCAAGCUAUUCAUUUGUUUGCUAUGCAAUAGUUAAACCCAAGAUUUAACCAAAAAAAAAAAAACUCCAUGCCUUAAACUGUUGAACAGAAUCAUGCAAAAGCAAAGCACAAACUUCAUUUCUUAAACUACAGAUGAUAUUAUAAAAUGAACCAGUCUUUCUGAAAACAUUGUACUCAGCUGUUGUAAUGAAUAAUUGGACACAAUUAUGAUCAAAACUAAAUAAAUCAAAGAAAAAGGUUAUACAGAAUAAAGCUAUAUUUCCAAUAGUAAGAAAGAACAAAAGAAGAAACACACUAAGAGCAAAUGUGAGGUAAAUACCAGUUUAAGAAAACCUCAAGACCCGUACCUUAAGUAAGAUUGGGACUAAUGAGUAAAAGAGGAACAUAGCCAAUGAAAAUCCAACAAAAGGAAAUGCCUGAAAUUGAAAUAAGAGAUCAAUCAGAAACAAAGCAUAGUUAAAUUUGUCAACAUCAAUGCUCAGACAUCUACACAUUCAUGCUAAAUAAUACUAACCCUGUGCUAAACAGAUCACAACAGUUAUCAAAUAUCAGAAUUUUUCUCCCACUAAAUUCUAUCACACUUGAUUUGAUUAAUCUGCUGUGUGAGUACAUCAUGCUACAUUUUCUAGAAUAUGAUUUCAGAAAGCGAAAUAAGUGCAAUGGAAAUGUCUGAGCAGUCAAAAAAGUCCUCAGCAAUCUCCCAGGAAGACCCAAACCAAGUCCACAUAAUCCACCAAGAGUCACAUUUGGCUCGGUUGGAUCAGAAUGAUCUAAUCAGCAGAGGACAGGGGAUAAAACCAAAACCUGUUGUGACAAACCAAGCGAACUGAAACUUUCCGGGUCAGCUGAUCCAACACAAUACAAAGGACAGUGGUCCAUGACUCCCCCAUGAAGAAGUGAAUAUAUAGUAACAUGGCAGGAGGCAAAGUUGUUCAGAGGACUCCAGUGUACUUUUGCUCACCAGACUGACAUGCCCUACUGUUCUGCUUCUCCACAGAUCCAAGGGUUCAAACCCGAAGAGGAACACACAUUUUGGAGAUCAAAUACUCGGCCAAUAGACACCAGCUAGAAUAGUUUAGUAAUUAGUCCUCAAUUAGUCCUCAAAUCCAGUAGCCUUGUUUCCCUAUGUAUUUGCACGUAGUCUAUCCUAGAUACUCGUACUUUACACCAAAUGAAGUUUUUCCAUCAACAUUACGAGGCUCUCAAAUCUUUUAUAGGACAGAGAGCUUCAAGUCAAAAUUUUCUCGUUCAAAAGGAGAAAGAGUUUUACAUAGUUGUUAAAAGAUAAAAAUUAAAAAGUAAGAGAAGACUUUUGACUUUCUGGUCCCAAUUGCGCGCCUUGAAUACUAAUGAGAGAAGAUGUCAUUAUUUUAUGUUGGUUCAAAGGAAGCCUAAAACCUGGGUUAAGGGGAGCCAAAGAUUUUAAUACUGGCAUAAUGGUAAGUCUUUACCAGGGGAGCUAUGAAACCCACAUUUAUUCAUUUUCUUUUCUAAACAAAAAGAGGUACACUUCGACUUCACACAUCUAGUGUCAAACAUUUGUGUAUCGUAAGAAAGCAUACAAAAUUUACGGUCUUGAAUUAAAUUCUCUGACACCUUAUUCUCUAAACCCUAAACCUUAUUCACGUUUUACCUUGAAGAGAUGUAGAAUUGAUAAAUAUUAUAUGCUUUUAUAUGAUAUGUGUGUGUGUGUGUGUAGAGAGAGAGAUAGAGAGAGAGACAUACAGCUCCAGACGACCACUUGAUGGAUUUGAGCUCAUUACGUUCUAUUACGCUUCUAUUGAAAGUCAUUAAGGGGUUACAACUUGUAAAUUGAUCACAAACACAUAUAAUGAUCAUAAAUCUGUGAUUGAUAAUUUCUAAAUAUCAUGAAACUGAAAAGUUCAAUCACAUCAGAAGUAAAACAGUUAAAGAUGCUGCAAAUAUGGAUGAGCAAGUUCUAUUUAUGGUAAGCAUUUUCACAAUCAGUAAAUCUUAGAAGCCUACAUCACCAAAGGAUACAUUUGGAUCGCACUGAUAAUGGCACCAAAAAAGCCCAGCAAGGACAUGAGUUCAACUCUGUCAGCAUUCUUCACUAGAAACUCCUGAAAAAGGGAGUGAAAAUCAAGCAUUAGCCAUGCAAAUAGAAAAGUUUCCCUAUGUUAAUCUUCGCAUUUCUGAAUCUAUAUAUCAGCAUACGGCCUCUGAAGAAAAUUAGUCAUAAUCUGGAUUCCUGCAACUUAUUAAAAGUGUGUUUUACCUCACUGACGUUAGUGACGGCAUACAGUGUAGCACCGGCAAUUACUAGUGCAUCCCCUUUAAGGGGAUUGCUCCCUCCUACAUACCAUGACCGUGCAUAUGCCAUCAGAAAACCACAGAACAGAGAUAUGUUUGAUAUUUACAAGUAAUUACAUUGUCUAUGGGAAACUAUGCAUGAAAAAAGUACUCUUGACAUAUUUUUACCUGAUCGGUCACCUGCAUGAACAUCUGAGAAAAUAGCUAUGACAAGGCCAGCAAUACAGGCCACCACACCGGUUAUCUUUUUACAUCUAUAUUUUGUAUUGAGGAAUAUCCAUGUAAGAAGCAUGACCGAUGGGAUAGUCCAACAAUCCAGCAACAUUACACUCGUUAUAGAUGUGUAUUGAUAAGCCUUCACCACUGUACGACAUAAUAGCAGUUAUCAGAUAAUAUUGUUGUAGCAAAUUAAUUUUACUUCAAAGUGAUGGCUUUGAAAAGCCUGGGCACACGACUUCUAUUAUAAAUGAAGAUUCAAGAAAUAGCAGUCAUCCACAUAAAAAUUGACUAUUCAAUUGUUGUAUUUCUAAUUUAAACGUUGCAUUUAUUUGAUGUUUAUGUAUGUUGAAUCUUUUUCUUUAUUUAUUUCAAAUACUUCAAUAUUCAUCACUUCAUUCUAGGAAGCUAAUUUCUGCCUUUAGGCACCAAUAUCAAGUAUCUAGAGUUUCUGCUAUAAUGUUAAACAAAACAAGUAAAAAUAACUGAUCAUGUUAUAUGAGUCUACAACUCCAUAAAAGUAAAAGAACAUUGGGCAGCUCAUUUCCUCAGACACUUGAAACCACUCAAAGCGGAAAACUCUUCCAUAAUCAAAGCAGAAUUAGUUGUAGGCAUUCACUGUAUUGUGAAACCAAUCAAAAAGAAACUAUAGAGGAAAACAAUAAGAAACAAAUAAACUUUAAUAAUACAAUAAUAAGAUUCAUAUCUGAAGUAGGGACAUAUCCCUCAGAAUUCCACAAAUAACAAAAUACACCAGUGUGACUGGAAAUAUUAAGAUGCAACAAAAGAAGUUAUAGUCAGCAAAUAAAACUGAUUUAACAUGUGGAUAUAGAUACUGACCUAGAAAAUUGGCCUCCACAUCUAUCAACCCAAGAAGUAAAUAGUAAUACCAUUUAGCCUGCAGAAUUUCCAAAAAGAUAAACAAGUCUUUAACAUGAAAAUAAGAGUAUAUAGCUCUAUCCUUUCAUAAUUUAACCUAUGAAAUAAUGUUUUAAGGUUCAUGUAUAACUUUUACAGAAGUUAUACCAGAGCAUUUUGUGAAAUAAACCCAUAAUAUCAAGCUUUAAGAUGAAAAGUCACAAAAAACAUACAAAUCAUAAUCGUAAAGUCCAUCAACAAACUUGGUCAUGUAAUAUCUUACAUGGAAGAAGACUCUUAAUAUUUUUCUUUUCUUCAAGCAUGCUUCAUUAUAUUAUGCUUGAGAUGCAACAUUUUGAAAUUUUGACAAAUGAUCACAAAACCAUUGGUAGCUUAUAUCCUAGUUUGCAGAAUAUUUGUUUACUACCACAAUACCAAGAGCCCUGAUUUGGUUGGAUACAUGGGUCAAGUUCAACAACCAAUAUCCUAAUAAACCCACUUUUAUUCUUGCAGCUGCGGGCUGGCUACAAGGUCUUCUGUUUAGGCAAUGUAGUAUCAAGUCUAUACACCACUGUUCCUAGAAUUGGACUCUUUUAUCAUUACUAAGCACCUUGUAGAUAGUCUUCCUAUGAGUCUGCUCCUUUACAAUAAAUCUUAAGCAUAAGACAUCUCAGUUCAAAAUAAGUGUUUGAAAUGAAACUCAGGUAUGAGGCAUAAAAAAACAACCUUAAGUGGUUUCCUCUGGUAAAUCAUGAUACUUCCAUACACAACUGCUAAGAGGACAUAGUUCAGAAAAGACUGUGAAGUAGGUGCAUUGAUUCCUGCAAAACCAUCAGAUGAAUGACUGAUCAGAAUCCUCUUCAAACGAACUUAAAUUUUAAAUGCACAAAGAUACAAGAAAAAACUCUAGUAUAUAAAAAGACUAUAGUAGGAUGAAACUUCAUAUGCAUCACAAAUAAUAGAAGAUUGAAAGAGGCUCAAACACAUGGCCUCCCCAGAUUCUGACCAACUAAACAAGAGCUAAGUGGUGAAAAUGUAAACAGUUAGAAUCUCCAAGCAAAUAUGAUUCAAAUGUAAAACUGGGACAUGCAUAUAUACUCUAAUCCUCGACUAUGAUUCAGUACCCAAAAUUGAUUAUAUCAAAUUAAAUGGAGCAUGUAACCAAAGGCAUGAUAUCAAACACCAGAUAGAACGUUCAACUGUUCAAGGCUUAAGAAACAAGAUAUUUCCAUAAAAUGGAACUUCACUCCUCUCCUUAUUCCUUAACAAAUCAAUCAGUGAUAUUGGCAUGAGCUACAAUAUGCAAUAAAAUAUGGAUAUCAUUGACACACUGUAAAAGAAAACUGAGAACCUUUCUUAGCCAACUCAGAGGAAGAAAAGCCAGUGGAAGUGAUCAGAAGCGAGAGAAACUGUCCCAACCCAAGACCCACCAACGUCUUCUUCACCCACAACUCUUUCAAAUUCCUCAUAUUCACCAAAAUACAAAGGAUUCCCAGAAAGAUCAGAAACUCAAAAACCCAAAAACACUGAGAGAAGCAAACAGCUCAAAACAAGCAUUUGCAAAAUGUCCACUCCAUUUGCGUUUUGUGACGUCCAAAGAGGACAGAAUUCAACUCAAUAUCAAAAGCCCAGUUGGCAGUUUAUGUUCGUGUUUGUGUUUGCGUAGGACUCAAGAACUCGUACGAAGUGAGAUUAAGGAGGAGAGUGACUGUGAAAACGAGGUUUUAUCUAUCAAAUUGAACCAAUCAACGGCUCACCAGAGUCCCCUAUUUCUAUGCAACACUCUUUUACAGCCGUUCAAUGUUGGCUCCCCAAAAUGCUUUCAAUUAUUACAUUUUGUCUCCCAACUAUUAUCCGUCGUUAUUUGCUUUCGUUUCCAGAAGUGUUGUUCAUCGCAAAUUUUACUGCUUUGUCAUUCACAAGUUCUAUAUGUAAUUAUGCCAUUCGGCACAUUAAAAUAUCGAUACAUUAACUCACUAUCAUGCUUAUAACAAUAAUCUAGAGACAAUAUGUUAAUAGUUUAUCACUGCAAGAAGUUGGUCAUUUGCAAAAGUAGAACUUGAUAGUUGUAUUACGGUUGACCACCACAGAAAGCCAAAAUUUGUACAGGGAAUAUGAUUCAUUCUCUAUUCUCUAAUCAUCGAUGUGCAUAUAAUAUGUGACCUGUGGGGUUGUUACCUAUAAUAAGUUGUAUAAGAUUAGACUCUGGAUUGGAGACUUGGAGUAGAAGAUUGCUUGUUGCAUAAACUUUUUGACCCUGAAGAUGCGCAGGAGUGGAUGUCACUGUUACUGCGACUGUGUUCUAAUGGUGGGGAAUAAAGGAAAAGGUCCGCCUUCCAUGUUUGAAAAAUGGGUUACAAAACUGGAAAGGGACACAACAUGGAGACCUGAAGUUGGUUGUUGGGUAUGAAUGAUAAGAGGACUUGUCUGCCAAUGUUGCAUCAUUUCACUGGAAAUCUGGAAAACCGCAAAAAAAGAACACUUCCACUAAACAUUAAUAUAAAAACUGGUCGAGUUCUUAAGUUCUUUCAGAAUCAAAAGAAGAGCAUACGCUACCAAUUCUGUACUUCACACAUCAAUUAUCAACAAGCUAAGACGGAAAAGAGAAGAAGCAAAAAAAACCCUAGUAAAGUGACAACCAACAGCAGGAAAAUCAAGAACCACUUCAGAUUCAGCUUCUUCGUAGCUCACCCUCUCCUUCAAUUUACAUUUAGCAGAAAGAACUACCACUAUUGUCAGUGUUUUCCACAGUCCUGAUGGGAUGCAACUUAGAAACUACACAUCUCUUGACUCUUGCUCAAGUAACUACACUUUCUGAAGCUCCGUAUUGUGCUUGUUCAAUUGGUCUUUUAACUCCUUUUUCCACCCCUGGAUUAGCCUUUCAUGCUUCUUGAUAAUCUCAGUCUUUAUGUUCAACUCCUCUUCCAUCACACCGAUCUCCUGGAGAAAAGAAAAUCCACCACAUUUAAGCACGCAAGGACCAACAAUCAUAGGGCAAUCUAGAAACCAUGGUUUAACUUAACCUGUUUAAUUUGUUCAGCACUUGUUGGCUGAUCCUCACGUUGCAGACCAAGAAAAUACAGCUGAAGCUUUUUGGCAGCGUCCAUAAAAUCUCUGGCAUGUCUCUCCACAUCAACUGAAAAGGUGACAGAAUAGCGCCAUUAUAGGUAGCAGGAAGGUAAAGUCAUUGAACUGUUCAUAAACUACUGGAAAAGCAAAGAGGGACGCUCGCUAGCAGUCAAUUGCAUGGCACGAUCAAGAGAGUUUCAUUCUUUACAUCACUAACACCUCAAUCCAAUCCGUUAGUUAUCGCUACAACCAAGAGAAUUGAAUGAUUUAUAUACUACUAGUAAGUAGUGACUGAUAACUAUCAGUCUGCACUCCAAAAUUACAGAAGAGCCAAGAUUUUUCAGUCUGCAUUCAGUUAAAUUAAACGAUUGAUAAAAAAAACUCUGUAUAAGCUGUUGAUUCCAUGGACAAAUAUUACCAGCAGACUAAACCUCCAACAUUGUAGAAAGGUCAAAUGAAAGGCUCAUGGAUCUCUCUAACCACUACAAUGAUACUUUCCAGGUGGGUGGUCUACAAGAUUAUGCCAAAAUCAUGAUCAAGUGUUCCACUACAAUAGCAAACAGUUGCAAAUAAAAGAACCAGAUUAAUGAAACAGUAAAUUGCAUCAAUAGAGGAAUCUAAAGAACCAACAGUAUUGCACCCCCUCAAAUCUGAAGACCUCAAAUGCAGCAUAAGAUAUUUGCCAUAGAUCAAACAAUAUGCAUUACUGUUUAGUGUAUUGGAUUGGCUUAAACAGGUCAUGACAACUCAGACGUAACCAUUUUCAAUAUUCAUGUCCUAAACAUAUCCAAUGGACAUAAUCCAAACUACUGAAUUUCUCAUCAAGACUAAAAGACUUUAGCACUUGCUUAUCUAUGAUGUGAAUUCAAGUUUUCAACAAUGUUUCUUAAACAAUGACAAUCGGAAGAUCAAAAGUAACCAUCUUGAUUUCCAUAUCAACCAACUCCUCCAUUGCAAAAUGUUGCACUAAAAAUAGAAUUCUCAUUCCCCAAAGGUGAAAGCAGGCUUAACCAAACACAGAACCAAAGAUAUGCCCCCAUUCUAGACUGUUAGUCCAGUAUUGGCAAAGAAGAAAAUGACCAACUUUGGUUAGAAUACAAUUAGAAACUUCAGGCAAGAUAAGUGUCUGAUGAUGCAGACGAAUCAACUGGACAAAACUAAAAAAGAAACACGUAGAGAUGGAGGAUACAAACUGUGAUGAGAAGGAUGGGGAGAGCGGUCAAUUGCUUGAAGCUCUCUGGCAGGCAAGCAUGGAAGCAAAGCAUCCUCUAGUGCCUUCACACAAGCCACCAUGUCUUCCUUUGGAGAUUGCAUCUCUGAACAACCCAACUCCUGCCAAAAACAAUUUGUUGGAUUUAAGGAUCUGGGUAACAUUUAAACUGCUGGAUUUACUGAACCCAUUAAUCGGGAGCCAUAAACAAGGAAACGAAAAGCUUGACCUCGAUAUGUUGUCUCAAUUUCUGACAGAUGCUUACCUUGAAUCAACCAAGCUCCGUAUGGCAAAGACAACCCUUUCGUCUCCUCUCGUAUACACUGUUCAGCCUUCACCGUCCUUUUUUUUUUUCCAUCAAUUUUCUUUCUCUCUUUCUUUUAAAGAAGAAAAAACAAAAAGACAAAAUAGUUCAAUGCAUUCCGCCCGAAUCUGAAUUACAACGAAAGAAAUUCAAUCUUAAAUGUGACGAUAUAAGCUAGCCACCAACAAUAAACAUAGCUAGCCAACUUAGAGCAUCUCUAACAAUUUCCAUAUUUUUUUGAAAUUCUUAAUUUUAGAGAAUAUAGAACUAUUUUUAGGUCCAACAGCUUUCCUAUCCCAUUUUCCAAAGAGAAAUUUUAAAUACACACCUUUAAUAUCUUAAUACACACCUUUAUUAUUUUAUGUUUCUAUUGAGAUUUUAUAGGUAAGUUAAAUGACCAAAACAUACAUCUAUNNNNNNNNNNNNNNNNNNNNGAGAGAGAGAGAGAAUAGUGAGUGGCAUGGUCUGUAAUUUUGUCAAAUUUUGGGUAUUAUGAUCAUUAUGCAUUUAGAAUUUGAAAUAGACUUGAUGUUGUAUUGUUUUAGGUUUGGGUUUGGGUUUUCGUCCUAAUUUGUAUAAAUAUUUUGAAAGAUGGGUUUUUUGUGUUUUGUAACUGUUUAUGGUAGUAGGAUGUCAUUUUCUAUUAAAAAAAAAGAGAAAUUUUAAAUACACACGUACUCUUAAUAUCUUAAUACACACCUUUAUUAUUUUAUGUUUCUAUUGAGAUUUUAUAGGUAAGUUAAAUUACCAAAACAUACAUCUAUUAUUUAAAAAAAAAUAGCUCUAGAAGUAUUCUUUUUCAACGUCUUCUACCCUAAAAUCGUCGAAAGCAUGUCUUCUCCCUAACCCCAACUCUUCUCCACAAUUCAUUUGAGUU
rnacentral:lncRNA from 1 species